UUUCCGUAGGUGAACCUGCGGAAGGAUCAUUCAUAAUAAAGUGUUUUAUGGCACUUUUUAAAAAUCCAUAUCCACCUUGUGUGCAAUGUUAGAUCUCGUCAAUCUUGGCGAGAUUUUUAUACAUCAACUCAUUUUUUAACUAAUUUGUCUGAAAAUAUUAUGAAUACUUAAUUCAAAAUACAACUUUCAACAACGGAUCUCUUGGCUCUC
rnacentral:misc_RNA from 1 species